rnacentral:rRNA from 1 species
GACGAACGCUGGCGGCGUGCUUAACACAUGCAAGUCGAGCGGUAAGGCCUUUCGGGGUACACGAGCGGCGAACGGGUGAGUAACACGUGGGUGAUCUGCCCUGCACUUCGGGAUAAGCCUGGGAAACUGGGUCUAAUACCGGAUAUGACCUCCUACCGCAUGGUGGGUGGUGGAAAGAUUUAUCGGUGCAGGAUGGGCCCGCGGCCUAUCAGCUUGUUGGUGGGGUAAUGGCCUACCAAGGCGACGACGGGUAGCCGACCUGAGAGGGUGACCGGCCACACUGGGACUGAGACACGGCCCAGACUCCUACGGGAGGCAGCAGUGGGGAAUAUUGCACAAUGGGCGAAAGCCUGAUGCAGCGACGCCGCGUGAGGGAUGACGGCCUUCGGGUUGUAAACCUCUUUCAGCAGGGACGAAGCGCAAGUGACGGUACCUGCAGAAGAAGCACCGGCUAACUACGUG